AACGAACGCUGGCGGCAUGCCUAACACAUGCAAGUCGAACGAGACCUUCGGGUCUAGUGGCGCACGGGUGCGUAACGCGUGGGAAUCUGCCCUUGGGUUCGGAAUAACAGUUGGAAACGACUGCUAAUACCGGAUGAUGACGUAAGUCCAAAGAUUUAUCGCCCAAGGAUGAGCCCGCGUAGGAUUAGCUAGUUGGUGAGGUAAAGGCUCACCAAGGCGACGAUCCUUAGCUGGUCUGAGAGGAUGAUCAGCCACACUGGGACUGAGACACGGCCCAGACUCCUACGGGAGGCAGCAGUGGGGAAUAUUAGACAAUGGGCGAAAGCCUGAUCCAGCAAUGCCGCGUGAGUGAUGAAGGCCUUAGGGUUGUAAAGCUCUUUUACCCGGGAUGAUAAUGACAGUACCGGGAGAAUAAGCUCCGGCUAACUCCGUG
rnacentral:rRNA from 1 species